rnacentral:rRNA from 1 species
AGCGAACGCUGGCGGCAGGCUUAACACAUGCAAGUCGAACGGGCGUAGCAAUACGUCAGUGGCAGACGGGUGAGUAACGCGUGGGAACGUACCUUUUGGUUCGGAACAACCCAGGGAAACUUGGGCUAAUACCGGAUAAGCCCUUACGGGGAAAGAUUUAUUGCCGAAAGAUCGGCCCGCGUCUGAUUAGCUAGUUGGUGUGGUAACGGCGCACCAAGGCGACGAUCAGUAGCUGGUCUGAGAGGAUGAUCAGCCACAUUGGGACUGAGACACGGCCAAACUCCUACGGGAGGCAGCAGUGGGGAAUAUUGGACAAUGGGCGCAAGCCUGAUCCAGCCAUGCCGCGUGAGUGAUGAAGGCCCUAGGGUUGUAAAGCUCUUUUGUGCGGGAAGAUAAUGACGGUACCGCAAGAAUAAGCCCCGGCUAACUUCGUGCCAGCAGCCGCGGU